CCUACGGGUGGCUGCAGUGAGGAAUAUUGGUCAAUGGGCGCAAGCCUGAACCAGCCAUCCCGCGUGCAGGAUGACGGCCCUAUGGGUUGUAAACUGCUUUUAUACAGGAAGAAAAAUCUCUACGAGUAGGGACUUGCCGGUACUGUAUGAAUAAGCAUCGGCUAACUCCGUGCCAGCAGCCGCGGUAAUACGGAGGAUGCAAGCGUUAUCCGGUUUCAUUGGGUUUAAAGGGGCUCUAGGCGUCAGUGGUGAAAUCCUGUCGCUCAACGAUAGAAUUGCCAUUGAUACUGAAGAGCUUGAGUUCAGUUGAGGUAAGCGGAAUGUGUAGUGUAGCGGUGAAAUGCUUAGAUAUUACACAGAACACCGAUUGCGAAGGCAGCUUACUAAACUGACACUGACGCUGAUGCACGAAAGCGUGGGGAUCGAACAGGAUUAGAUACCCGGGUAGUC
rnacentral:rRNA from 1 species